AUGCCCAUUAACAAUAAACUUUACAAAAGUGAAUAUAUUCAUAUAGUAUCAUGAAUAUUAGACAUCCUAAUUAUCCAAAAAUUCGUCGCAUUCACAUUAAGAUCAAAUUGACUUUCCGCCACCAUUUUGAAUUACAUCACCCACAUUCUCCUACACAUAAAAAGAAAUGAUAAUCAGAUAGAAACUAAACUUUGAUCAUUCGUCAAGAAGAACAAAGACUAGGAUAACAUAUAGUAACACCAUGUUUUGCAUAUUUUUCAGUCACAUAUAAAUAAAAAUUGCACAACGAGUAACCAUGCAAUACAGGAAAACUUAUAAUUACCAGUUCACUAUAUAAAAUCUUAGGAAGAGAAGAAGUCAACAUUUGGUUUUACUUUGAUCCUUUAUGUGGCUUUUGAUGAGUGUGUUCAAAAGCUGAUCCACAUAGUUGCAUGGAAGUAUUACUUCUUAAACUUUAGAUCCUAUUUUCAAAUUAAGAACAGUAGAAACAUAAUUUUGUUGACAAAAGAAGAUACACUGCUACUCAACUUAUUCUUGUCCUAAUCAACAGAGGGUAAAUAAUUUAGUUUCUUAGAUCUGGUGUUAGGAAAGAACCAGGCAACCAAAAUUUCACUCUCAUCUGCCGGUCGUCUUGCAAACUGGCCAUUAACAGCUGUCUCAAAGGAAUUGAGAGCAAAGACAACAAUAAGUUGAAACUCAUCAUAUUUAGUGGCUAAUCUUUCUAUAGUUGCUAAAAUAACUCUAAGAUCUACAUCACCUAAUUCAAAAUCAAAAAUUUCGACAAUAAACUCAAUACAAAGCAGAAAGCAUUUAAGUUUGGUGGAAAUGUAGAGUCUAAAUACAUUUUCAUGAAUUGGACCAUGAGUUGAUCCAAAAGAGUGUUCAAGAAGAAAGCAUUUAAGUUUGCACCAAUAGAUUAAAGCAAUGACGCAAUUGCCUCAAUUCUUACAUUUCUUCUUUCAAAGUAUUGUUAUGCUUUUGUUGAGCUUGCUGAUUUCCUCAUCUUUUUUCAAAGAACUUUUUGUCACUGAUCUACCAUACCAUCAUAUUCGACCAGGCUGCUCCUUUCCAAACACUGCACU
rnacentral:lncRNA from 1 species